AAGGAUCAUUAACACGUUUUACAACGUAUCAACCAAACCGCGAACUUGACGUUUUGCCAUGUUUCGGAAGCUUUUUGCACGUGUUGUUGUUCAUGCUGUCAGAGUCACUUCAUUGCUGGCCGGCGACAGUAUGAGUGUGCAGCUUCGUGGCAUUCUCUUCCUUAACAUGUAUAUUUACCCAAACCCAUUUCUUAUUGAUUAUUCUGUGCUAAAGGACGUGCCGUUUAUCGGUAUUGUCUUUUAUUACAAACUUGUACAACUCUUAGCAACGGAUAUCUUGGUUUCC
rnacentral:misc_RNA from 1 species